GGCCACAGAGCAAGAAGAGAACCAGUGUGCUAGUGCUACAGCUACGGCCUAGCUACCUAACCUACUACGGCGCAGCUAGCAGCAGCCGACAUGAGCGACGGGCGCGAGGAGAGCACCAGCAGCAGGUGGCCAGAGCUGGCCGCCCUGCGCGCGCUGGCGCGCGACGCGGCGGCCCGGGCCGGGAGGGAGACGGCGGGGUGGCGCGGGCGGGAGCGGGAGGACCACCGCCACGGCCACGCCAAGACGGCCAAGGUCAUGCACCUGCUGCUCUGGGGACCCAAGUGAGGUGAAGUGAAGCGCUGCUGCACCUGCCUCUGCCUCUGCCUCUGCCUCGUGGCCCGCGCGCGGCGUCCUCGCUUCCUUCUCCGCCCGCUGCCCGCACGGGUUGUUUGUACUUGUACAUGUACCACUGCUAGACUAGUACUGCUGCUGUGCCUGUACUAUGCACUGUGUAUUGUAUUGUAUUGUACGUGCUAGUAGUAAGCUGCUGCCUUCUUCCUUCUCUUCUCUCCCCCACCACUCUGCUGUUUUGCUCCUCCUCAUCGUCGUCGUCGCGUCGGCUGUGAGUUGUGACCUGUAUGUAAUUAAGCCAUCAUCCAACACGUCUAAUCUCCCUCCCCUUUCUGUCGAAGGUUAUUCGAUGAGUCGAUGUUAACUAGAUCACAAGAUCGAAAACUAAAGAUAAAAGCACAGGAAAGUUUUUAUACAAG